rnacentral:rRNA from 1 species
UACGUAGGGUGCAAGCGUUGUCCGGAAUUAUUGGGCGUAAAGAGCUCGUAGGCGGCUUGUCACGUCGGAUGUGAAAAUCCAGGGCUCAACCCUGGACCUGCAUUCGAUACGGGCAGGCUAGAAUUCGGUAGGGGAGUCUGGAAUUCCUGGUGUAGCGGUGAAAUGCGCAGAUAUCAGGAGGAACACCGGUGGCGAAGGCGGGACUCUGGGCCGAUAUUGACGCUGAGGAGCGAAAGCAUGGGGAGCGAACAGG